GUCAAGAGGCAGGAAUAAAUGCAGUUGCUAUCACUAAGGAGAAGGUGCUUGAGGAGCUGGAAGUUCUGAAGAUAGGUAAGUCACUUGGGCCAGAUGGCAGCUGAAGAGAUUGUGGAGGCAUUAAUUAGUCAUUUUUAAGAAUCACUACAUUCUGGAUCACAAAUGUUACCCCACUCUUAAGGAAGGGAGGGAGGUAAAAGACAGGAAAUCAUUGGCCAGUUAGUCUGACCAGUGGUUGGGAAGAUGUUAGACUUGAUUAUUAAGGAUGAGAUCCUCACUGUCCACAACGUACCCUCUCCUCAUUGCUGCCCUCUGGGGGGAGGUACUCAGAAUGUUUUAGGAACAGAUUCUUCCCCUCCACCAUCAAAUUUCUAAAUAAUCCAUAAGCCAGUGAACACCACCUUGCUCUUCUCUUUUGUACUAUUUAUUUUAUUGUAAGUUAUAGUAUAUUUUUACGCCUCGCACUGUACUGGUGCCACAAAGCAAGAUAUUUUAGGGCAUAUGCCAGUGAUAAUGGACUUAAAUCUCCAUAGCAGGCUCAUUCAGACAUUCAGGAGGUAUGGAAUCUAGGGGAACUUGACUGAGUGGACUCAGAAUUCUCCCCGAUGAUCAGCCGCCAGUGGUGUUCCACAGGAAUCUGUUCUGGACCCCUGGUCUUUGUGAUUUUUAUAAAUGACUUGGAUGAGGAUGUGGGAGGUAGGUUAGUAAGCUUGAUGACGCAAAGGUUGGUGGAGCUGAGGAUAGUGUAAAAGGUUGUUGCAAGUUACAGUGGGAUGUUGAUAGGAUGCAGAACCGGGCUGAGAAGUGGCAGAUGGAGUUCAACCCGUAAAGGUGUGAAGUGAUUCAUUUGGAAGGUCAAACUUGAAGGAUUAAACAGCACAAUGUCCCAAAUAAAUAAAGAGAAUCUCAGCUAUUUUCUUGAUUUGGUUUUGUUCUUUAAGAGUUGAAUAAAUAAGCAACUGCCCUGAUUAACCAAUUAACAGAAAUCCUCUGUAUGGUGUUCAGCUCUUGGCAUGUUACCAUAGGAAGGAUGUGGAAGAUUCAGAGAGAGUGCAGAAGAGAAUUACCAGGACAUUGCCCAGAUUGGAAAGCAGUUCUUAUGAGGAUAGGUUGAGCGAGCUAGGGCUUUUCUCUUUGGAAUGAAGUAGAGUGAGAGGUGCUUUGAUAGAGGAGUAUAAGAUGAUAAGAGGCAUAGAUUGACAGGACAUUCAGAGACUUUCUCAUAGGACCAAAAUGGCUAAUACAAAUGGGGGCAUAGUUUUAAGAUGUUGGGAGGACAGUAUGGGGAGAAUGUCAGAGGUAUGUUUUUACUGAGUGAUGGGUGCAUGGAACACACUUCCAGACAUGGUGGUAAGGCAGAUAUGCUCAGAACAUUUAACACAAAUAGACACAUUGAUUAAAGAAAAAUGGAGUGUUAUGUAGGAGAGAAGAGUUUGAUUGAUCUUGGAGUAGGUUAAAGGGUCAGCACAACAGUGUGGGCCAAAGGGCCUUACUGUGCUAUACUGUUCUGUGCUGUAUGAUUCUAAUUCUUUCCAUAGAUACCACCUGACCUGCUGAACAUUUCCAGAAUGCUCUGUUUGAUUUCAGAUCUCCAGCGUCGGCAGUUAUUUCUGUUUUGAUUUUCAUUUUAAAACUGAGCUUCCUGGUGCAACUUUCACCAUUAGUCUCCGCUCAGGGAAAAGUUAUGCUCCGGCUGAAAUGGACAAUUCAACCACCACUUUUGAGAGAGCAACGGUUAAGAAAGCUAAUAAGAUACAAGUGACUGGGGAUAAAUGGCCAACAAGGAAAGCAAGCUGGAUGGCCAACAGGAGACCAAAAAGUUCAACAAUCCAAGCUGGAUUUUUUCCCUCCGAAUUUCUGGGAGUCAGUGCAAAUAUUGAAAGCAAGUAUCGACUGAGAAAUGUUCCCAACAGUACUCCCAGUACGAGAUGGAAGUGGAGAUCAGGAAAUUACAUGAUUUUCCACUCAUUAUUUUAAUGAAUGAAAGACUAGAGUGCACAAUCUCCUCCUUGGAUGACUUACUGUGUACUGAGCAUUGCUGAGGAUCCCUACCACCCAUCCCACAAUCUCUUUGACCCUCUACCAUCAGGAAAGACGUGCGGUACCAUCACAAUUAGGACUGCCAGACUGGGUAACAGCUUCGUCCCUCGGGCUGUGAGACUAAUGAAUACCCUGCCACCGCCGAGGUCUCGUCAGCAGGACAGUGAGCUGUUUACUGUUUACCUGUGCUGUGCAUUACGUGCAUUUUUAAUUAUAUUUGUUUAGCCUAUUUAUGGUAAUAUUUUGUUUUAUGUACUGUGUGUGAUAUAUGUUUUGUGGGUGGAGGAACAUUGUUUAGUUGGGUUGUAUAUAUGUACAGUCAUAUGACAAUAAACUUGGACUUGAACUAUGGAAUAUCGUGGGCAUGCUACGUUGGCACCAGAAUGUACGAUGGGGAUCUGCUGGGGGCAGCACUCGGCUGUGCUGUUUGUUAAUGCAAAUGAGAUAUUUCACUGUGUGUUUCGAUGUUCUGUACAUGUGAUAAAUUAAUCUGAAUCUGUACCUAGGCAAACCAUGUCAUGUACAGAGCUGAGUACUUUGACAGAGAAUGAAGUGUUAAUAUUAUGCAAUGACAUUAUAUUUCCUUCUUAAGAAUAUUGUAUUUCCCUUUAAGACUGUGCACAGCUCUGAGUGUACUCAGCUGCUCGGGUCUGGUAAUAAAGUA